GUUCUUGUAGUUAAAUGUAUAACGGCGGUUUUUCAGGCCGCAGAUCUCAGAGAGAAGCUGGGCGAGAAUA
rnacentral:tRNA from 1 species